rnacentral:lncRNA from 10 species
UUUUUUUUUUUUUUUUUAGACAGAGUCUUGCUCUGUCCCCAGGCUGGAGUGCAGUGGCACGAUCUUGGCUCACUGCAACCUCCGCCUCCCAGGUUCAAGCAAUUCUCCAACCUCAGUAUCCUGAGUAGCUGGGACUUCAGGCGUGUGCCACCAUGCCCAGCUAAUGUUUGUAUUUUCAGUAGAGACAGGGUUUCACCAUGUUGGUCAGGAGUUCAAGACCAGCCUGGCUGUCAUUGUGAAACCCCAUCUCUACUAAAAAUACAAAAAAAAAAUAGCUGGGAAUGGUGGCAUGCACCUGUAAUCCCAGCUAUUUGGGAGGCUGUGGCAGGAGAAUCACUUGAACUAGGGAGUCCCAGCUACUCUGGAGUCCUGUAGUCCCAGCUACUUGAGAGGCUGAGGCAGGAAAAUCGCUUGAACCUGGGAGGCGGCGGCUGCAGUGAGCCGAGAUCGCGCCACUGCACUCCAGCCUGGGCGACAGAAUGAGACUCUGUCUCAGAAAAAAAAAGAAAAAGAAAAAAAAGAACAAUAGCUACAGUGGUGGCAAUCGUGCUACUGCAGUCUAGCCUGGGCGAUAAGAGCAAGACUCCGUCUCAAAAAACAAAAACAAAACAAAAAAAA